rnacentral:rRNA from 1 species
UACGGAGGGUGCAAGCGUUAUCCGGAUUCACUGGGUUUAAAGGGUGCGUAGGCGGCCCGUUAAGUCAGUGGUGAAAGCCUCCAGCUCAACUGGAGAACUGCCAUUGAUACUGACGGGCUUGAGUACAGACGAGGUUGGCGGAAUUGAUUGUGUAGCGGUGAAAUGCAUAGAUACAAUCAGGAACUCCGAUUGCGUAGGCAGCUAACUAGGCUGUAACUGACGCUGAGGCACGAAAGCGUGGGGAGCGAACAGG